rnacentral:antisense_RNA from 1 species
AGAUCCUAGGAAAGGAAACUGGGAGCCCGGGAGAACUAAAAUUCCCAAUUAAAAGUGAAUUUAAAUCUGAGCUGUUCUUAGACCCAGAAUUUCUUGCCUGAAGGAGGAGUCAGGUCCCCACAAGGAAAGACCCUGCAACUGUAUAAAAAAAGAAUCUAAAAAGAUCAUGACUCCUUCAGUCCUUUCCCAAAGAGACCUAUGGAAAUUUCCUCAGGAAGAGGGACCAAGCAAAACCCCAGAAGAGUUGAUCUCAAAGCUUAUUUUAUGAAGAAAAUUGACCUGAGUGACACAAAGGGUUGGACUGUAGUAGAUGUCACGUUUUGCUGCCUAGAUCUCCAUCCAGGGAUGAACUCUUACUUCCUCAGCUUCUUUGUCUCCUCAGCUUCUGGGAGGGUUGGCAGCUGAUAUUCUCACCUGAGUCCCUUUCUAGGACUUGCCCUUGCCUGAAGAGAGCUGUGCUGCCCAACAUGAUGCCUCCUCCAAGGUACAAUCCACACCCAGUGACUAAUAAACAGGGGUUACAAAGGCAUGCCUGCUUGCCCCAGUUUGGGACAACUUUACCAGGCCAACCCAGCCUCAAGGCUCUCCGCAGGAACAGGGACCCUGAAAGCUGUGUCUAUGAAGUUAUUACAAGAUAUUGGCUACUGUGGUGCAUGGAGCUUCUAGGCCAGGGUGAUUCUCACACCUGCCUGAUGUGGAUCUUGUUGCUUCACACCUGAAACAUCAUUUGAGAAGCCUGGGAAGCGG